UACGUAGGGUGCAAGCGUUGUCCGGAAUUAUUGGGCGAAAGAGCUCGUAGGCGGUCUGUCGCGUCGGCUGUGAAAACUCGGGGGCUCAACCCCGAGCCUGCAGUCGAUACGGGCAGACUAGAGUGCUGUAGGGGGAGACUGGAAUUCCUGGUGUAGCGGUGAAAUGCGCAGAUAUCAGGAGGAACACCGGUGGCGAAGGCGGGGUCUCUGGGCAGUAACUGACUGAGG
rnacentral:rRNA from 1 species